UCUCUUCAACCUAUACAGCCUAAUCAAGGAUUAAUUUUUUAAUCACUCGAUAAUCACACUACUAAACUGAAAGUUACUUAACGAGAUUAAUUAUAAUUUCUCGUCAGAUUUACGCCACUUAUUUUUAUUAAUUAAAUUAAUUAAUAACUAUUAAUAAUCAAACUUUUUUUAAUUACAUUUAGUUGAGUUUUGUUUUAUACGAAAUACAAAAAUAAUAUUUGUAUUUAAAUAUUUGAACAAAUAAGUUGCAAUCAAAUCAUACUGUUUUUAAAUAUAAAAUUUAAUUACACUUUCAAAUGGACCGUUUUGGCUGUUUGUUUCUUCCACUAAAUGAAAACAAAAAAUAAAAUCUAAACACCUAAGUCAUUUGUAAGCAUAUUAAGUUUGUUAAUUAAUGACAGCUUACUUAAUUUUUAAGUCAAACUUUCGUCUAAAUUUAUUAUUUUUUAUAGUAAAAAUUUAUACGUUUCAUUAAUGAAGUAAUAACAUAAUUUCUUAAAAUUAAUACAUGUAAUACAAUUUCGUCGUAAUAAAAUGAGACACAGUGAUAAUAUAUGCACUAAUGAUAUAAGUAACAAUAGUAAUUACAAAUAAUAAUAAUAAAGACAAUAUAAAUAACAGCAAUUGUGAUUAGUAACAAAAAUAACCGGAUAGAGAGUUGCAAUAAUGAUGUAUAUAGCUGCAUUAAUAGUAGUAAUAAUCAUUGUUAUUAAUGAUAAUGAAGGGGAGAGAUGAAGACAAUUACAACACACUAAGGGUGGUAUUUUGAAUAGCGAUUAAAGGAGUAAUAGUGAUAAUUAACAAAGAUAAUAAACUAUAAGAAUUAUAAUAUUUUAUAUUUAUAAAAUUUUAUUCGUAAAUCAAAUAGAGUUAAAUAAAAAUUAUAUAUUUAAAUAUAUUUUAAAUUUAUAUAUUACAAAUACAAGUUAGUCAGGUUCAAAUUUUAAAGAAUAUAUCUCGAAUUCGAACAAUUGUUAUUCCUACUUUGGUUCGGUGGUUGGCCUCUCAUUAACUUUUUUUUUUAUUUGAUUUUUUAUACUAUCGAACUCUUCUCUAUUAUUCGUUUCCAUGUCUAUUUUCUUUAUCUCCAUUUGCCCUCUUCGAAAUAUCUCUUCUUAUAUAUUUAUAUAUAUUUUUUAAAUUUCAUUUAUUUUUUGGCAUGUACAUUUCUUACUUUUUUUUUAUUUCAAAUUUUCGUUUUUUUGAAAACAUUUCCACAACAACUAACUAAUUCAGAACGAAACCUAUAGUUUUUCACCACAUUAAAGAAGAUAAAAAGCUAGGAAUUGAAAAGUUGCGAAAGAUGAAUAUGAUAUUAUAUAUUAGGCGAAUUAAACAAGCUUUUUUUUUUUUUUUUUUGGUGGGUUCCGAAUAACAAAUUCUCCAAAGCGUUGAUAUUUGGUUUUUGCUUUUUGAUUUUUCAGCUGAAGCGAUCUCGCCUGGUGGGGCCGUUGGUACAGCGGAACGAAGAUCAUAGACCGGCCAUGUGGACCAUAGCAUGUUGCUAAUUAUAAAUACAGCGCCCACCACCACCAAUACCCAUUUCAAAUUAUUGCGCAUCUUUCUAUUCCAAACUCAAUAUAACAUACAAAACUACGUACGUACAUACAUACAUCUACAUGUAUACAGUUAAAGAGUGUGAAUAGAAAUAUGUAGAUCGUCAUAGAUCUGGACCCCUCUUACAUCAAUCAUCAUGUUCGAUUCUCCCUCGGACGGAAACAUAAAACGAUUUUUAGCUUCAAUUGAGCCCAUAACACUACGGAGGUCUUUGCCAUUUUCAUUUUUAUGUGAUUGGUGCUAGGUUUGAGAUACAGUAAUAUAAAUGUACAAUAGUUUUCAUAAAUUCUGUAUUAAAUUUGAGGGAAAAAGGAGAGUGGGUGGGUUGCAGGAAACUGGGUCUAAUUUUUCUAAGCCAAGCCAAUAAUAGUAAGUAGCAUAGCAUCUAAUUGACAAAGAGUUUAAAUGGAGUUGUUGGGUGUCAUUACGUAAACUCUGGAAAUCUUCGGUGCCUUCCACCUCCAGACACUUACAACCGCUCUUGCCCGUAUUAUUAUCGGGGGAGACCAGAUCCCCAAAGGUCAAAUAAAUAAAUGAAUGAAUGAAGCUCGUUGUACAUUCACCAUUUUUUUAAAGCUUCUUACGCAUAAAUUUACAAAUCAAUUCUACAUUCCAUUUGGAAUUUUAUUAAUCCUAAACAGUGUAAAUUUAUCUCCGGUAAAAAAACAUAAGAGAGUUUUACAUUAUGAAACGAAAUAAUAUUACAACAACAGAGCUCGUCAUGAUAUCAUGAGAACCCACUUUGCCUAACCUUGCAACUGUAAACCAAGUAACUAGGUUCCUUUCCUAUGACAUAACAUCAGUCUCCUACUCUUGAAGCUCAUUAAUCUGCUAUCAACAAGAAAACAUACACAAACUGGACUCUGUCUAAAUUACUAUACUUCCUGAUCUUGUGUUUAAACAUUGCAUUGCAACGAUAUUUCUUAUUCUACUCCCUAAGACAACUUAAUUUUGUGCAUUGUGCGUGAAUUAUAAUUAUAUGUUACACACCCUAACAGUAUUAUACUAGAGGAUCUAAAAUGGCAUAAAGCAGAGGUACUUCUUCUUGAGCUUUUUCAUUCUGCCAGCAGCAGAUUUCCUUUCCCCACAUGGAGCUACAAUGGGGCUAUCCCAAGAUUCAGACACAUUAUGAGAGUUUGAUGAUGGACCUUCACCAACGUACUUUGAUUUCAAACCUCCCUGUCUGUCAUCCAGAUGUAUACUAUCUCCUUCUCCAGGCACAAAGCAAUCAGCCUUCAUCAUCUCUUUGACAGGAGAUUUGGUUCUUCCAAUAUCAAUAACAUUUCCUGCUGAUAAUUGGAAAUUAAGAGAGUUACCCCAUGCAUAGAAGCAAUUUCGUACGAGAAAAUAAUUACAAGAUAAACUUAUUUUAGCUGAGAGCACAUUAAAGCGUGUGUAACGAUGGUUCGUGGACUUAUAUAUUGAGGAUAGAAUCUGAAUGUUGAUGGAUCCUCCCAAAACACGAUGAAUUAUUUAACUGUACGAUAAUACAGAAAUGAAAUUGAUUUGCAAAAGAUAUUUUUCCUAUUAUUUAAGUUUCCUGUUUACCUUUAGCAAGGACAUAUCAAAGGUAUAAACACCACCGUUAUGUAACACAGUCAGCAAAGAUACUACCAUAUCCUCCUCUCAGAAAAGAUACUAUUAUCUCCCAUCCUUUUCCUAAUCUUCUGGAUAACAAACACAAAAUAAGGUAAAACUAUUUAAUCUUAUCCUCUUAGGAAUCUUAUCACUAUCAUUUUUCCUCUAUUUAGUUCCACGUGCAAUGAGAUAAAUACUUCUAGAACGAAAUAGCAUUUAGACAAGAACAAACAGGACCAAUUAUCAGAAGCUGAUUUCAGUUCAAUAGAUCCAACAAUUCAGUCCUAUCAGAAUAUGUGGGCAAGCGAAGGUGCCAUUCACCCUAAAACAUGGCCUCUUAUCCGCCAGCCUAAGUUAAUGAAUAGACUGGUAAUAGACAUCCUCCAGCUAAAAUAGUAUUUAGAUUGUAAAUAAUUGAUGGAAGCUUAAACUAAUACUGAAGAGUCUGAUUUAUUAUUUCUAUUCUAACCUACCCUUUUACACAUAAACGUGCUAUGCUGAAAGUAAGGUCAAUUACAAACCCCUAAUCUCGUGCUAAGAUUUGACAGUAUUUUAAAAAAGUUCGCUUUUAACUUAAGAUAUAAUUACAAACUACUCUCCUAUUUUUCUUUAUUUUGUUACAAAACUAUCCAUUACGUUAGUAAUCUGUUGCCUAACCAUUAAAAAGCUUUAUAGUUUCAUAAUAUUGUCAGAUGACUUUUGCAUUACACCAGUGCCAAAUGAUUGUCAGGUACACAGUCAAAAUUUUAAAGAUAGGGGUAAGAAAACGCUAAGGUAGAGACUAAUUUUUGUGACAACAAUAAAAUAAGAGAGGAUUUUAGUUAUUAUGUGUAAUUUAAAAGAAUAACUAAUGGACGACCAUCCCAAGCAUCAAAGACUCAAGACACUAAUAGGUGCAAGAGUAAAGGUUAAUGCUAUUCGUUCUUUAGUUGCACCUUUUCGUUUUCUUUUUAUUUUCUUUCUUUUUGAAAGAUGAGGAGAUAUCUUAUUAGUGGAAGAAUGAUAUAACACCUAAUUUCGUAUUAGUCCUUUAAGUGCCGUGGUUCGAAUGACCAAAAGGAGGUAGCAACCACAAGCUACCAAGUUGUGCUCUCUAUUGAGUCUAGAGACGGUGGAAAAAGAAGGUUGCGACCAUAAGUUGCCAACAAUCCCAUCUCGAGUGUUCAACUUGUUUAGUUGCUAAGAUUGCUAUCGGCUCUUUUGACCUUCUUUCUUUCUAUCUCGUAUAGAAAGAUAUUGGACAUCAUGACGAUGAAAAUGGUUAAUGGAAUGGAACUGAAACAUUUCUUUCUCUAAAUUCUGGUUUCUCUACCCUCCUUCAACCUUUUUUCAUUUCCUUCUUCCUCUUUUCCGUCUCCCUUUUCCCACCUUUCUCUUCUGGUAUUUAGUCUCUUCUCGUGCUACCUUAAACUUUGCUAAAAAUAGAGUGAUCUGUCAAUUAUUUAUGAGCUGUUGUGAAAGCAUCAAAGUGUGUCAUACAUCAACAAUUCUGUGACUUACCCGAAAUUUAAUUAACAAAAACAAGGCGGUAAUUAGGAAUCAAACCCUUGUUCUCAGCCUUAAUAUCAUGUGAAGUGAACAAUUAAUUGGUAACCAAUUAUUUCAAAAACAUAAGCUAAUAGAAAUUGAUCUAUUAUUAUAUAUUUUAAUAUAGAUAAUGGGUGCUAUCAUCAGAUUUUUGUUCUUGCCUCUACCAGAAACCUUAACUUAGUUUUGAGCAGUGCCAAACUUGACUUCACUUGGCACAUAGUACAAUAUAGUUUCUUCAUAUUGGAUUUUUUAUGUGCUCUUUCAAUAUAUGUUACAAUCUAGUGCCUAUGUCUCCGAGAUAUCAAGAAACUAAUUAUGAGAAAUUCAAUUCAGGUUGCUUUUUUCUUUUGCAUUACAAUCAGAAACUUAUAGACUAAAAAUGCAGGAUGAUUUUUGACAUAUAUAUAGUAAGAGAGGCUCAAAGGUUUCAAGGAAUCACAAUCAGCCAGAGAGUUUUUCCUCAAACAAGAUCUGUUGGAUACUAGAAAAAUCGAAUUAUUUGCAUAAAAAUUCAACUCAAUAAACAGAAAAACAAGUACUUUAGUCAUACAUCAAAAGGUACCCUCAUAAACAACACUCAGAAUGUAUGUUGAGAGCAAACAUAUUUUCAUCAGCUUUGCUUAAAUGAAAGAUGGCUAAAGUUCAAUUCACAAGUUUGCUUUGAAUAAUUACAGUUCCAAUAGCAAGCACCUCAAAUUUCCUUCAGGUAAAAAUGCACAAGCAAGAAAAAGAAUGGAAGCAAUGAAAAGGAGCAACACACAUAAAUACAACCAAUGUGAAGCACAGGCCGAAGGAAACAAUGAAAAGAGAGAGUAAAAUGGGAAAUCUACAUACCUGAAAUGGCCGGAACAGUUACAACAACCUCAGUUAAUCUGCGGGCUUCACUGAUGUUGAAUUUGUAAUUUGCAUCCCUCUUUUCUAUGUCUGCACUAUUUUCAGACCUAAGCUCUUGCAACAAAGCCAAUGGAUCAAAAUAUUCGUCUGAUGACAAGGAAAAGCGACUUGAAUUUUCUGAACUGGAAGACGAUGAUGCUGGGUUAUCAAGAUCCAGCAACUCCAAGUAAUCACCUCUAAAGCAUAAUCAAGUUCAGGCAGGUUUUCAGCACUAUAAUUUGUAAGUUUCCUUGAAACAGGUGAUUCUUCUACCUUGUCACCCUUCUGCACCUACAAAACAUGGCCAGACCUCAACAUACAAACAGAACGCCUUCCCCCACGAAACUAACAUGACAUAAGAUAUCUCAACUCCAAUAACCAACAGAUGCAAUGUUUUGUUUAAGGGCAUCAGUUGGUCUCUUCUUAUCAUUAUACAAGAAUAUUCCCCUUCAUGCUAACAUUUUACUUGACAAAUAUUAUCUGUGAUAGAUCCAUUCAACCUGAGAAUUGCUAGCUGAAACAAGAAAUAUAGAAAUGCUAUGAAUUUGUGGAUGAUUCUUAGUACUAAAAUCUAGCUUACCUGAUAAAUCAUGAUUAAAAUGCCUUACACUAUUUUUAGCAUUUAGAAAUUAUCCUGAUAAUUUGACAGAGCUGCAAGGUUUGCCGUUUUAACAGGAGUCAGAUGAAGGUUCUGUGUUAUGUGACUUGAGCAAAUUAAAAUGAAAUGAAAAAUUCACUAGGAAUAAUAGCUGGUCUUUAAUAAAGUCAGUAACUGGUUUCAAAUUUAUUGUAUGAAUAAAAAAAUUACAAUAAGCUAAUCAACAUGUAAAAUCCAACCCAAGCAACAAGGUAAGACACAACAGUGAGGAAGUAGCCUUACCAGGAGAUUGCUGGAAGAACCUUUUCCAGAGUUGUUAUCAGCUAUUGGAACAAUUAGUUGCUUUGUAUGAUCAUGGAAUUCAGUCCCAAUAUCAGGACCAGACUUCUUCUCUUGCUUGUCCAGGUAACAAUUUUGUACACCAUCAAGAAAAAUUCGGCACAAUAUGCCUGCUUCCUGCAUAUUCUCCAACCAGACCGCUUGGUGACUGGUAGGUUGGUUUUUGAAUAGAGAUAAAAAGUAAAAUUUCAGUGAAUAUGCAUGUAGCUUUGGUGAUUCUGUGGAGUACCUUGGUCUCGCUGUCUUCAGAUGGUCUCUUCUGAGUUAUAGUAAACUCUUGCAUUAUCCAGCUACUCUUGUGCUCAUCUGGCACCUGACCUUCAUGGAAUUCAAGUGUGCUCCUCCAACCAAUAAUGGAAGUAUCUGAAAAUAUUUCACAGGCCUCCUCUUUGGCCUUCCAGAUACCAUAUUCUGUACCAAUGUUCUCCUUGGAGUAUAAAAAGUACCAAACACCAGCUACACACUCCCAACGUUAAAGAAAACUUAGUAAGUUCAAUCUCAAUCUUACAUGCUACCAUCUGUUAUACUGUUCUUAUGAAGUACCUAAAUGAAAUUCACCAUUCUUGAAGUAAAGCAUUCCAAUCGCACAAAAGGUCACUUGACACAAUUGCGCUUAACAUUAAGGACUGUGAUAUUAACACAAACAAAAAUCACAAUUCUUCAUCCACAAAAGGAUUCAGUGAGGUUGGCUCCUAAAACAUUUAAAUUUCUAUAGGAGUUCCAGUGGUCAAAAUAAACUGAGAAACGCAAAAUACAUGAAUAGCGUUAUACUUCGAUCUAACAAAUACUGUAAUGAACUUGUUCUGCUUUAAGCAGGAAUUCAAUAAUCCUUCUACUAUAUGUUUUUAACCCGUAUGCCAUUAAGCACAAAGGCGUCUAUAAAAUAACAUAAUAUGCCGAUUAAAAAGAAGUUUGACAGGUCCACAUAUCCUUUGGCUUUCUUUAGCAUAUUAAAACAUUAGUUCCAUUUUCAAAAUUUAUAUAUUUGCAUGUAAAAUUAUAUGGAAUUGUUCAAAAUUAAACCAUGUCUGGACAAUGCUAUGAAAAUAUGGCAUAAGUCUAAAAAUAACUAUUUGUUCUGUUCAAACUUAUGCCACACUUUUACUUUCAUUUUCCAGACUGUUUUUAUUUUCAACAAGCACACAUGUAUUUGUGAUUUGAAGAUGGAAUUAAAGUACCUGUGUGGGGAAUCAACCGCUAGCCACACAGUUCCCAUGCCUAUUCAAUCUGUGUCCCUUAGACAUAAUGCCCCUGUCUUACAAUCUAUUUUGAAUAAUGAAGACGGUAUUACCUGGAACUUCCGCUUCAGCCAUAAACUUUUUGAUAGGGAGGCUUCUGACAUGGCAAACCUUCUAAGUCUCUUGGAAUCUAUUCAAUUUAGCAACUAAUCAGAAAAGGAUAUGGACCUUGGAACCUUUGAGAACAUUUACUUGCAAGUCUUUUUUCAAACAUCUCAUUUCCAAACCUAACGAUAACCCAAUAUAUAAGGCCAACAAGUUCCGGAAAUCUCCUAUUCCUUUCAAAGUCAAGGUGUUCGCUUGGACCGGUAUUCUUUGGAGGAUAAACACUAAUAAGAUGCUGUAAGUAUGCCAACUUAAUCGUGCCUUGUCUCCAGAUAUUCAUGUGAUGCGUCUUGCAGGAGGAGAGAUGCAUCAUAUUUGUUCCUGCACUGCAAUACGCCUUGGAGGUUCUGUGCAAAAUUAGUAAAGGCUUUUGGUUUAAGUUGGGUGACCCUCCCAAUGGUAGAGGUGUUCAUGGAUCUUUUUUUUUUGGGAGGGGCUACAAGCACAGGCUAAGCCACUUUGAAGAGGUGCAUUCUUUGCUGACCUAUGGAGCAUUUGGCUUGCAAGGAAUCGUCGGAUCUUUAACGAACAGACCAACCCUUUCCAUGAGCCAUGGGAAAAAGCCACUUUUUAUGUUACAUUGUGGGUUAAGGUCUAUGGGCAUUAUUCUACUAUUAGCAUCUCUAAUCUGCAUCAUAACCGGAAAUUUUUAUUUCCAGGAGCUUGGUUUUGUUAUUUUUGUAUUUGUUAUUUUUUUCUAGCUUGCGGAGGAUGCCUUAUUCUCCUUGAAUGUAUUCUUUUUUCCCUUCUAUAUUAAUAAUACUUAUUUUUCUACUAAAGAAAAAGGAAGUAAAGAUAUAUCAUUAAGUUUACAACAUUUUUAUACAUGAAAACAUGUGUGGUUCUUGAAAUUAAAAAGAAAAUAAUAAAAAUAUGGCAUAAGUUUGAAGAUAAUAAAUAGUUGUUUCGUAUGAUAUUCCCCAUGCACUGCACAAUUCUAUUUCUGCGUGACAGAAACCCUUCCACCACUUAUUCUUGGAUCUUUGGUAAAAUGACAACCAGAUUGUCCAUGAAGAUUUUCAAACAUCUCCUAUUCAAAUUACAUUAAGGAGAGUUGUGACCGAGGAAUAUGAACAUUAAAGAGAGAGCUCAUUUCUAGAUACAUUUUGAACCCAGUAAAGGCAGCCUAAUCAAUUUCAGUUUUGUUUUAGAAAAAUAAAUACCAAUGGACUAUUCAGAAAUUGAUGGAAAUUAAGAAAGAAGCAAUGAAAAUUUAAAUCAUCAUCAAGUUUUUCUGGUGAUUCAAUAAAUAGAAAAAGGAUAAUGAACUUACCAGGUAAAUUGGAGGGCGCAUAUUUGUAAGGAUUUAUAUCUGUAACAACAUUGCUUGGUGGAGAUGUUCCACUCGCCAUUCUUGUGAAUAACCCAAAGAGCUCCGCCAAAGUACAGUCAAAAUCAAUCUCAGUCGUGGAAGCAGCUGGAGCAAACAUUGCACUCGGAUAAAAUCCCUCUACUUUUGUGAGAAAGGGCUGUUGAAACAGUAAGAAACAGAGAAGUAAACCAAAUAACAGUAUUAUGUUAACUUUUCAACCAUCAAAUGAUGUAAAUGAAGCAUAAAAGCCAUGGAGGUGAAGGGAUUAUGUUAGUUUCCUUAUUACUAAUCAGACAUUGUUUGCUUAACUGAGGAAUGUUAAUCAGACCAAAAAGAGAUAAGAGGUAGAGAAGAGAACGAAAAGUUGAAAUCAUGGGUUUCCUUUCAAGGUUUGAAGCAAAUAGUUUCAUUUUCCCUUAGUUCAAUUCCAAUUUGCCAAACUAUUUAGCGCUGCCGUACAGUUUACCUUAAUUCACAUUUACCCUAAUUCACAUUUAGAUGAGAGGAGAGAAUUCGUAUGCUUAAACCACGAAGAUAUCAGAAGUUGUUAGAUCUUAGAAGAGAACAUUCGAACUCCUAUAAAGGCAUAAUAAUUUACAAGAAGAGUAAUAAACGACCAUGCAAAGGAUGGAGAGUCCCAUACCAGUUAUCUGUUCCAGCGGGAGGAUCCUCAAUUAUGAGUUGCUUGACUCCAGUGAAUUAUGAGUUGGUAGACUCCAGGGAGAUCCGAGAGUGCUGCAAACGAUCGGAAUGAUAUCAGAUAUGAAUCGGUUUCGUUGUUAACCAACAUGACCAUAGAAAUAAAAAUUUACAUAGUCUAGUCUAUAUUACAAGCUCUGUCGCAAAAUAAAAAAUAGAAGGAAGAAAGUGUCAAUUUGAUCAGAAACUAACACCAGGACCAAACAUUCCGUUUAUUUCUAAAAAAUCAAGAUACAGAACAAAAAACUCAAGCGUUCACAUUACAACAAGGAGAGGACCAAGAGGGCAGCAGCUGAAAUCUCGACUAUCAAGAAAUGAGGUUUUGUUAAACUAGGAACCAUCAUAAGACAGAAAACAAAAACAAAUAGGUCCAUUUUUCUUGAUUCCACUCCAUUUUUUCGGGUAAACCAAGCAGACCAUCAUUUGUUUCUGUGUUGACGAAAUAACUAAGCUAGCUAAAAUGCAAAAAUGGAGAGGAAAAUGAUCAGUAAUUAGAGUGAAGAUAGAUUGCUACACCGAAGGAACUAAGCGAGGGAAAAAUGCUGGUAGCUGUCUGAUCUCGAAGAAGGAGACUUGAUCGAGACUCUGGUUGCUUAAUCAGUAAACAAAGUGAACGGGGGAGAUGAGAAAGUGGCGAGUAUUUAUAGGCGUAGAAGGCGGAGUCAAGAGAAACUAACCGUGGUUAUCUUCCUAGGCGUUUGUAUUUGUCACUUAUUUCGUAUCGUGCGAGAAAUAUCGUCAUUGACUUACAUCAUCCAAUUAAGUUGUUUCUGUGCCUUCGUUGAAUUUCUCUGCAAAAACUCACGGUAAUUUAAUUAAAUAAAAUAAUAAUUUUAAAAUUAAAAAAAAAAUAUUUAAAAGCAUUAAUUUCAUGUGAUAUAAUUAAAAAUAAUUUACUAAUUUAAUUUAGUUAAGUCACCUAAUACUAAUGUGAUAUAAUCGGUAAAUAAAAAAAUAAAAAAAAAAGAAUUUAUAUAAUUACCCAAAACUAGAAACGUAAGUGGAUGAUGUUCUAUAACCAAUGAAAACAAACAUUCGUAUUGGUUGACCAUUGUCCACCUUAAUAUUUAUAUAUAUAUAUAUAUAUAUAUAUUAUGUGGCACUCGUAUUUAUCUCUGCUGCUUUAUUUUUCUUCUGGUUUUGUUUUUUGUCAACAUCGUGCAAUUUCCACAUUUUCUUUUCAUAUUGUAUUGUAAUUAUAUACUAAUGUCGAAAUUAAUGAAAUUUAUUGAAUAAAAAUUAAAUUCUAACUAUUUUUAAUUAUUUUAAAUAUAGUUAAAAUUUUUCUUAUCUUUUUUAAAUUAUAAAGUCAAGCUAUUAAUAAAAUAAUAAUUUUUUCAUGUAUUAUUAUUAAUUUUUUUAUUUAAUUACUUUUUGCUUUUGCGCAGUUCCAAAGAGCAGUUGGUUACUGGAAAAGUUGGGAGAAUAAACUCGGUGGUAAUGGAGACGAGUGAUCAGCUAUCAACGUUCUUAGAAACUGGUAUUUAUCGAUUGGAUUCAGACGCGGUCUUUAUGGACUCGGUUCGCGUGCUAAAUCGAUCCUAUACUCGUUUUAGGGUUUUUCCUUCUGCAUACUACUCUCGCUUCUUCGAGACCAAACGCAUUGAUCAAGAAACGACGUCCUUAUCUGAUUCAAGGAAGCGAAAAAGGAGGCAGAGAAAUCUUCUUCUACUCAAUGAAAGAGAGCAGGCCGCUGAUCGACGCCACCAGGCAAUGCAGUAGCCACUAAUUCCUCACUUUAGAUUAAUUCAUGAUUUGAAAAUGCUCUUUAAAGUUUGAAAUCAACAAGAAGGGAAAUAAGCUGGUUAUCUUGGUUCUUUUCUGUUGCAGGAAUCGAGGCCUUUGUUACUGAGGGCUCAUGAAUCUUUGUUACGAGCUGCUGGUCUUUUAAUGGCUAUUAGGAGUUUAAGGGGCGAAUUUUUUUCCUCAACAAAGAGGGAUGUCGAUUUUGAACAUUCUUUUAUUGAACUUGGAAGAGAGUGGCAAGCACCUCUCUAUGAGAUAAUUCUCAAUUACAGCCAACAUGAGAAGCCAAACGAUGAUGGAGGUUCGUCUCGUGACUCCAUUAGUUAUGUUUACUUGUUAAGCCUGUAAAUGAAGAUUUUGAGUUAGGGAUUCCUUAUGUUAGAUUUUUUUUUUUUUUGAUGAAAGAUUGUUGAUUUUUUUAUCAGGUUCCUUGAUUAAUCCAUGUCAUGAACAGAUUGUGGUUCCUGUAUUCAAUAACCUAGUUGUUAAUGAGACAGGCGAUGAUAUGGAAGCUGAGUUUCUAAACAGGCAGUAUAUAAUACCUAGAGAAAGUUACUUCUACAUGGUAAAUUUUUAAUGCUUUUUUAAAUAUUCUGACAUAAAACGCUUUAAUUUGUGUUAUAUUUAGUUUUAGCUUUAGUUUUGUUUGAUUAUCCAAUACUUAAAUCUGUUUCUAGUGUGCCUCACCAUUUUUUCUUCUCUCUAUAUUCUGCUUUCUUAUCAUGCGGAAGUCUGAUCUGCAGCAGAUUCACAACCUUAUUCCUGGUAAUUAUGGCGUGUCAAACUAAAGUUAUAUUUUGAGUCCUUCCAGUUCCAGCAAGUUUUCUUGCCUGUUGAGAAGUACUAGUCCUCUUUGUGCUGUUGAUUGAUACCUGCCAUUAAGAUGCAUGCAAUAGAAGUUACUUAUAAAGUUGGAUCUAUUAUGACGAUGUGUCCCCUUGAGGUCAUAAAAAAGGGGUCUAUUUAAAUAAUUUCUUGGUUAUUUAGGUUCAAGAAAACCACCCUGAAUGGUAAAUUAAAUUCUUUUACUAGAUCAAUAUUAUAGCAAGCCUGGUGUCUUGACCUUUCUAAUUGGACUUUGCUGCAAACUAGAAUUUCAUCAGCUGCUAAAGAAGUACUUGCUAGUGUAUUGGGAUGCUGAUUAGUAUUGCUCUUCAAAUUGUGAGAUACUUUACCCGUUCUUAUAUGCAGCUUCACCUGUUCAAGGAUUUAAUCUCAUAGUCAUUGAUCCGCCAUGGGAAAAUGGAAGCGCUCGUCAGAAAGUAAAGUAUGUAAUCACAUGCCUUCCAAACCACGCUCUUACUUUUAUUGAUUACGAGGAAUUUACUGCAAAAUAAGUCUUUGUGUGUAGUGUGUGCCCAACUGAAGCAUGAAGCUGGUCUCAUAUAUACAGAAUAUUGUAUUUUGAUUUUGAAUGCUAAUCACCCCAAGCAUUAUUCUCAAGAUGUAUUUUAAUAAUGUUAAUUGGACAAGGCCCAGAAUAUGAUUGCAAUCCAUGUCUGUAUAUGUGGGACAUACACUUGAUGUAGAAACCCCUAUAGAGAUAAAUGCACUUUUAGACAGAUUUUAAACUGGCAGCUGUCAUCUUUCACUAGUAUCUUGUUACUGUAAAUUCUGUUAGGAAAUGUUAUGAAUAUUGUUUUCAGAAUAGUAACCUUAAUGAGUAUUUCUUUUCAUCAAAGGUAUCCUACUUUGCCAAACCGUUACUUCUUAUCCCUUCCUAUUAAGAAACUUACUCAUCAGGAGGGAGCACUUGUGGCCUUAUGGGUGACGAAUCGGGAGAAGUUGCGUAGUUUUGUUGAGAAAGAACUAUUUCCAGCAUGGGGAGUCAGUACUGUAGCUACUUUCUACUGGUUAAAGGUGACCUCCCUUUCACUUCUCUCUUCCUCUUGCUGGCUCAGCUUCUUUGCAUGUGUCUUUGUGUAUGUGGUUUGUGCGGGUUUAUUACCAGUGCCAAUUUGAAAGCUUUUCACGCCCAGUGUUGAGGUUGCAAUUUUUUUGCAGGUGAAAGCAGAUGGUUCACUGAUUAGUGAUCUAGACCUCUUUCAUCAUAGGCCUUAUGAAUGUCUUCUUUUAGGCUACUGUCGUGGACAGGUGAGCCAAUGGUUUUUCAGUGUACCUAGCUUCAAUAUUCACUGCCUUUUUCUCGAACUUCUUAUACAGUUGCUUCUUGUUAUCUUGUUGUCCAUCUUGUAGAUUGCAGAUUCCAAACAUCUGGCAGGAUUCAAACCUGUGAAAGAUAAUCUAGUAAUUGUAAGCGUCCCAGGAGACUAUUCAAGGAAGCCCCCUCUCGGAGGUACUAUCAUACUACAGAAAAUUUAAUUUUCAAUUUUUAUGCACACAUAAAAUGAACUAAAGGAGUUCUUUUUCUCCUAUAUUAAGUAAAACUGUUUAUUUUCUUCCUUAGAAUUUUAAAGCAACUUUGGAUGACUGAAUUUUGCAAAGCUAUUGACUCGUUAGAUAGUAUUUGCUAGUUGCUAAUUUGGUGCUUCAAUUAUCUUUUUGGCUGCGAGAUGUAUAGAGUUGCUGCUGGAAUAUGUUCCGGGACCUAAACCUGCCCGAUGCAUCGAGCUGUUUGCUAGAGAAAUCAUGGCUGGGUGGACGUCUUGGGGCAACGAACCUCUCCGCUUUCAGGACUCGAGAUACUUUUUGACAAAGUAGACGGAGGAGUUUUCCUGACCAAUUCCCUAGCAGAUCAUAAAUUUCUAGUAUUUCUAUUUAAAUUUUCAUAUUGCUUAUAAGAAGCUGCUCUGGCAUUCCCUGAAAUCUGGUUUUGAUUGGGUGGAGAGAUCAGGAUUCAAAGCACACUAUAACCGUGGAACUCCGGCAGACUGCCUAUAGAUCCCUUGUUAAAAAAGCCCAAUUCUGCAUUUAUCCGUAGGUAAUCUGACAAAUUCCAAAUGGAGUAUGCUUGAAAGUGAUUUUAUUGGUCAACUUGUGGAGAGAUGAGUCUUGGGUGGAAUCGUGCUGAAGCCGUAAUCAGUAGCUAAAAAGAUGAAGCAUGAGUGUGUUUUCACGUAAUUCCAUGAAUAUGAUGAUUAAGGGAUAUUCUGCUCUUGGAAGUGGCAUAAAUAGGAUGCACAAUUGAAGGCAAUCAUAAUAAACGUUAGGUAUUUAAUUGCUCAAAUUAAAAACCUAAACAAUAAAUUGAACAAAAUAAAAGAAAAAAUUAAGUAAUUAUUCACUGAAAAUAAAUGUUAGAACACUGAAUUAAAUGAGUUCAAAAAAAAAUUUAACACCUUAAAUUCUCUCUCUGAAAAAGCAGAGAGGAAGAAUUAAUGCGUGUGUUGAAACGAAAAAGGAGUAGAAACUGCUGAUAAAAAGCCCAUCCGAUGUGAUGGUGUAUACAACCAUGUGUCAUGUGUCCCACCUCCAACGGCUUGGCCCUACCUUAUAUUAUUGGGGUCAUGACAAGAAAGGUACUUGAUCAUACACGCGGCAGUGCUCGCUUCUCUUUAACUCACAACACCAACGUGCUAGCCUGCGCGCGGCCACACGCCAUCACCUGCUUCAAACCCAUCAUCAUCAGCAUCUCUAUCCGCUUCCCCCAUAUCAUCAAGCGGCUGCGGCGGGCCCUACCCCAAUCACCCCAUCCCUCUCUCUCUUUCCUUUUCCCCUGUACCUUGACACACCUUAUCACUUCUUAUCUUCUUCUAUUAUUUUUUUAACCCCUACGUAGCAAGGGAGAUUCUUCUUCGCUUCCAGCGAAGGAAAGCGUAUUCCUCGUGACCACUACCCGCCUACUCUCCCCUCCUUCCCUCUUCUUUUCCCUGGGCUUAAAUCGCUUCCGAAGCAGCUCCUACCUAUUCCAUUCCUCCGUACCCCGCCGCGAUUCUUUUGAUUCUGCUUGAGCUGUGCUUGCUAAUAAUGACAUCCGACGGUGCAACCUCCACGUCGGCGGCGCCUCCCAGGAGGAAGCCGUCCUGGAGGGAGAGAGAGAACAAUAGGAGGAGGGAGAGGAGGAGGAGAGCCAUAGCCGCCAAGAUAUACGCUGGCCUUAGAGCUCAAGGUAAUUAUAAUUUGCCUAAGCACUGCGAUAACAACGAGGUCUUGAAGGCUCUAUGUUCCGAGGCUGGUUGGAUCGUUGAAGAAGAUGGUACUACCUACCGCAUGGUAAACUUUCUUUCUUGCUAUUUUGCCAUAGAUCUGAACUAUCUGCUUUCAAUUUAUGCUUUUAACUGAGGAAAUCUCAAAUUUUACUACCGGGAUCGUAUGAGUUUAUUGCCUUGGAUCCGGUUCAUUUUUUAUUUUUAUAUUCACUUCCUAAAACGCCAAAUGUUGAUCUGAUUGCGUCGGACAACGAAUCUAAUUUUCUUUUCCACUUCAAUCUUGCGUGAUUCAUGAAAUUUCUUCGUGAUGCGCGAUUGGGAAAACCAGAUAAUUGAUUCAUUUGUCAUCUGAGGUUUUUGUAAAACACUGAUAUGUAGUAAAAUGGACCACUGAAUUCAUUGAAGUUAGCUCCAUUAAGUAGCUGAAAGAGUUCUGCAAAACAUUCCUUUUCCUAAUUAGCUUGUGAUGGUUGAUUGGAAAUUUCUAAAAAACUUGUGUUUGUUUAGUUUAGUUCUGUUGUUUGUUAGUUUCUGAUAAUAGUUAUCAUAUUUGGUUCUGAUUGCGACUGGUGACCAGGGAUGCAAGCGACACCCAAAUGAUAUAGCGGGAACUUCCGCUAAAAUCACUCCAUACUCUUCCCAAAAUCCAAGUCCACUCUCCUCAUCAUUUCCAAGUCCAAUUCCUUCCUACCAAGUAAGUCCUUCUUCCUCUUCCUUCCCCAGCCCCACUAGAAUCGAUCCCAGCACCUCUUCCACAAUCCUUCCUUUCCUUCGGAAUGCAAUUCCUUCAUCUCUACCACCUCUUCGAAUCUCCAAUAGUGCCCCUGUGACUCCACCAUUAUCCUCCCCAACCUCAAGAAAUCCCAAGCCAGUGCCCAACUGGGACUCCAUUGCCAAGGAGUCCAUGGCCUCCUUCAAUUACCCUUUCUAUGUGGUGUCUGCCCCAGCUAGCCCAACCCACCGCCAAUUUCACACCCCGGCCACCAUACCUGAAUGUGAUGAAUCCGAUACUUCAACUGUUGAUUCUGGUCAAUGGAUAAGCUUUCAGAAAUUUGCCCCUUCUGUCUCUGCGGUGCCUACCUCCCCAACCUUCAAUCUUGUGAAACCAGUGGCUCCGCAAAUGUCCCCCAAUGGUUUGAUCAAUGAGGCAGGACGGAGUUCGGAGUUCCAGUUUGAGAAUGGACAGGUGAAGCCAUGGGAAGGGGAGAGGAUCCAUGAAGUGGGAUUAGACGAUCUAGAGCUUACCCUUGGAAAUGGAAAGGUUCGGAGUUGAGCUGGGAAGACCAUUGAGUAGCUUUCCGAAAAUGAGUGAACUAAUGUUCUCGCAGUUUCGCGAUUUAUACAGCCAGACUUUGAAGACCAGCCACAUUUCCAGCAAGCUUCUCCCUGGGAGUUGCGUAUGUUGAACAAAACUUGCUUCUUAGGAGUUAUGAAACUGUCAUUUCAAUUGCCGCUUGUUCAUCUUCCCCCCUUUUCUGUUUGUCAUGCCUUGCCCUUUUGAAAUUGUUUAGGAAUUGGGUUGUUUCACAAGCAUUGCAUGUAGAUAUCUUGGGCUGGUUAUUGUUGUUACAAAGUUUAUCUCUACAGUAGUCUUGUUAAAACCUCACAAAAUUAAAGUUCUUUCAGGUGUUGUGUACUGUUAAUGCUGUAUUUUGUUGGGAACCAACUACUCCUAUAAUUUAUUUAUUAUUUUAUUUAAAUUAUUUUGCUGCUACCAUCUUUAACUUUGAUUGUUGGGUAUCCAUUUUUGAAAAGGAGAUACAGAUCCGCAUCUUAAUUAACUAAACUGCUAAAAUUUGGAAUUCUUUCACAAUUAUUAUUAGAUAGUGGGAUGUAGGAUAUAUUUAGAGAAAAAUAAUUUUAUUUGUGGGAAUUUUCUUUUGAAAAUCCAUACCUAGUUAGUACUUAAGAAAGAACAUGCAUUCCUUUCCUUUUAUUGUUUACCAAAAAUCAACAUAAUCAUGGAGUCUUUAUUAGUAGAGGAUGCCAUGAGAGUUUUAUCAUUUACAAUUCCUGCGACUUGCAUGCAUGAAGGAGAGUAAACCACAGUAGGUCCAACACAACGGAAACCUCUCUGCAGCAUAUCCUUGCUCAAGUAAGUUGUUGUUACAAGUAUGGUCAUGUCAGAUAACACCAUGAUUUUUAGUUAUUGACGUGGUGUGGUGGUGGUAUCUGAAGCAGGUCAAGAGAUGAUCAUUUACAAUUCCUGCGACUUGCAUGAAGGAGUAAACCACAGUAGGUCCAACACAACGGAAACCUCUCUGCAUCAUAUCCUUGCUUAUCUGUUCUGCCUUUGGUGACUUAACUGGUACUUCACGUCCGUAUCGGAAUCCAUUUCUUAUUGGCUUCUGCUUUACAAACCUCCAGAAGUAGUUGCUCAACGAGCCAAACUCUUGUUGAACCUGCAAAUGCACAAUAUCCAACCUCCUACUCAAAACUUUUUUAAACAACCCCUUAAUACAUACGUGACGUCCAUAUAGGAAUUCACCACGACAAACCAUAUAAAUAAUAUAAUACCUUGAACGCCAGUUUUGCGUUCUCCACAAUUGCACGAAGCUUUGAUUCGGACAGAACCAGGCUCCCGUUUACUUUCAUAGAAAGCAGCUGCUUCUCGGAAAAUUGUGCGAUGGAACACAAAUCAAAAUUGUGAAAAAGCUCCCUGUUAAUGGAACCCAACAACAAAUGUUCAACGGACUGUAAAUAUUAAGCAGUUAUCAGAGGUUAAUAUAUCAUGUCAUGCCUCAAAGUUUCCCUCUUGCUGAGGAUUGUAGGCCAGCUUAGCUCUGCUAAUGCUUGCGAAAACACAAGUAGUUCGAACAAUCUUGUAUCGUCAUCCCGUACCGGAACUCCCCAUUCUUCGUCAUGGAAAGAAAUAUAAAGUGGAUCUGAGGUAUCAAUAGGGAGAAAGAAAAAAAACAACAGGGUUCAGCUUAUGUGGGUCGUUUAAUGAGGCAUCAUAAGCAAAUGGGACAUACAUACAAUAAUAAACAGGUUAUAUAAAACGAAUCAUACUUCUCUACUAUUUAUCCCCAAAGAAGUGUAAUACAGAGGGGAGCGAAAAUUAAACAGGUUAAUCUAGAAAUGAUACCUCAAAUCUCCGUACUUCACAAUAUAGCCUGACAGAUUGAAUUAAAGUUGCACGAGAAGUUUCUAAGUGGCUUUUCAAGUUUCGCUAGUCAGCUAUCACUUCUCCAUGAAUGGUAGUAAUUGUGUGUUACAAUAAAAUGUGAAAGUCAAAUUUUUUUUUUUUUUUUUUUUUUUAAUGUUUCAGUCAAAGUAAAAUACUCAAAACAAACACACACCACUUCUACGAAAAAGGAAAAACAGAAACAGAAAAUUAAAGAGAGGGAAAAAUUAACAUAAAAUAAGUAACAAAGAUUUAAAGCAAAACCAGACCAAAAAAAAGAAACAGAAACAAACUUAGCAAACAUACCCCGCACCAGUCAUAUCACCAGACAGCAACAAAAGAACAAAAGUAGCACGCGUUAGAUAAAACAAAACAGAACCAAGAGAUAAGCUUAAUGCACACACCAGAGUUUGGCGUGAUCCAGUCACACCUCUUCACGGGUCCCGACACCUUCAUUGAGACGUCCGCGACGCCAACGCCGCGAGGAACUACAUCCAUGGUCUUCAGUCCACUACGCUUGGCCACCGUUCUUUUAGCGACCGUCUUUUUCGCGGAGGAGCUGCUGGAAGACGAAGAGGAAUCAGAGGAGGCAGAGCUGUCAACUGAAAAAUUGUUUCGCACGGCUGAUUCUGGCACCUUCGUCACCGGCUUUCUCUGUCUCUGCGGUUUCUUAAGAGCUUGGGUCUUCCAUUCCAAGUCCAAAAGCCUAACUCGGUUCCCAGUGGAAGCGAGUACCGCUCGUGGUUGCGUGACCUGUUUAGGUGAUGACUGGGGGCUGGCAGCCACAGACAUUGGGGGUGUUAAAAGAGUGUGGUGUAGGAACAGAUUUGAGAGAUUAAAGCGGACAAGGUUAGCUUGGAGAUGGAAAUGAUAGGAGUUUUUCGUCAAAAUUGUAGAGUAGGAUUUGAAGAGAAGUGAAGAAUUUGAAAAGAAAAUGGGAAGGGUUAGGUUUUCAGAGAUGGGAAUGGAGAGUGGAUGGAGGAGGAAAAUGACGUUAAACCGACGGGGUUUUAAAAAAACGGUAACCUGACCUGACUGGGUGGGGUGAUAUUGAAAUGUCAGUCAGUCUGGCAUUUUCCAUUCGGUUGAAACUGGAGAUUAAGUCUUAAUCUGAGUUUGACAAGAAGGAUAAAGGUCCAAUUAAACAGAUGUAACUAAGGUUAGAAUCCAAUUACCAUCAUCAUUUAAGUUAAGAUGAAAUAGAAGUGGGACCCAGGUAGUUGGGGGGAUAGUAUUAAGAGUGGGUAACAAGAAAGCGCAGGGGCAGAAAAGGUAUUUCGCACCGCAUUCAGUUGGUAAAGAAAAAGCUUAACGCGGACGUUGACAAAAAGAAUCCAAUGCCCAACGGCCAUAUCCCCCCCUCUCUCCUUCCACCCAUCUCUUUCUCUCCCUCCACUGUUUCCUGCAAAUUCUUAUUUUACUUUCCAAAGUAUUAAUACAAUUUUAUCCAUUAUAUAUAUUUUAUGGCCCAUAAACUGUUCUUCUUUUGUCCAACACAAAACUAAAUGGGCCAGAUUAUUCACAUUUUGAUCUUAUAUAAUGGGCCACAGCCUCCUGAAUUUGUUCUAACAAUGUUCGAACAUAAGCGUGAGAGUGAAUCCAUGGAGUGAGCAACUACAUUUCCCAAAAUAUGGUAACCUUCGAGCAAUUUAGGGUUUCCAAUUGGUGAGCCGUGGAACCGAGUGCCUGCAUUGUUGAUUCCAGAGGGUUUUACGUGGUUGAGGGGAAGACACUCGAUCGAGAUUUGCACAGGUAAUACUCACUUUAGUCUUUGAUUAUUUAGGGUUUCCAAUUGGUGAGCCGUGGAACCGAGUGCCUGCAUUGUUGAUUCCAGAGGGUUUUACGUGGUUGAGGGGAAGACACUCGAUCGAGAUUUGCACAGGUAAUACUCACUUUAGUCUUUGAUUAUUUAGGGUUUCCAAUUGGUGAGCCGUGGAACCGAGUGCCUGCAUUGUUGAUUCCAGAGGGUUUUACGUGGUUGAGGGGAAGACACUCGAUCGAGAUUUGCACAGGUAAUACUCACUUUAGUCUUUGAUUUACCUAGGCUUCAAUUUGAGAGCCAUAAUGAAGAUUUUUUGUUGCUCCAAAAUGCAGUUUACAUGUUUGUAUUGUCCUUGUAGUAUAGCGAUCAUUUCUUUUGGCUUGAUGAUUUUAUUUGUACGUAUUCUUUGAUUGGCCCAGAAAUAGAGUAGAUCGACCAUAAUCGAAGCAUAUAGAAAAACAUCUACUUUUUGUUGGAGUAACAUAUAAUGUUGCCACUGUUUGAUUGUGGCAUGGCGUAUGAGACCUGGUCUUAGCCCUCACUGUGAUACUAACCAAAGGAUUUGGUUAGAUGAUAGUGGAGAAAAAGGUGAUGUAGGACUCCUCUCCAGCACUAUAUAACCUGCAACGGUUAAGAAAAGGGGAUUAGGUGUAGAAGUCAUAUUGGAGUAUUAUCUAUACCACAUGAAUUUAUGCCGAGGUAGGAUAUUUAAUUCUAUUAGAAGCUUCCAGUUUAUAUGAUUUGCUCUGUGUCUGAGGUUUGUGAAUGUUUUACGUAGGAGUUAGUAGGCUGUUAUAAGGUCAACUAUUUAUUUUCUUGUGUGUGCCGAGAGCCCAUUAAGUUUGGGAAGGGUGUGAAGUGUUGAUGGGAGUUGACAUUAUUGAUUAGACUAUGUGAACAGGGUCUAGGGAGAUGACAUGGGAGUAAUCCCAUUGGUGGGUAGUAGGGUUUACUGUUGGACAUUUGUGAGCUGAGAAGUGAUUGGAGGGGGGUUAAAAUGAAUUUUUAAGGAAGGGAUCCAAGGGUCCGACUGAGUCUGGGUUAAUUUCGUUGUAGCAAACGAUAUGUAAUAUAUGUUUUGUUUUGAGAAUACCAUUCCAUAGAUAAGAAUCUUUUGUUGCUAGGACUAUGAACUUUCAAUACCAUUCAUAAUGGAUUAAUCUAUUUGAAUUAAUGAUAUCCAAAUCAUAUUAGUUCUCUGGUUACUGGAUAUUUUAUCAUACUGUAUUUGUUACAAAAAGCCGUCCACAUAAACAUACAAACUCUAGUAAUUGAGGAUCAGUAAGAAUUAUUGGUGGUAGUGAAUUUAGUGGAAAAAGAGCGAGAAUGAGAUGGAAUAGAUGGAGUAGAAUUUUGAUCUCAGUCAGAACAGAAGGAAGAGAAGUUAUGGAUGUUGAAGAAGAAAAAAGUUGGCGAUCUAUGGCUACAAAUGGCAACAAAGCGUACUUUUAUUUUUUAAAUUGUGUCGAGUUUGCAGGUUAUUUGACUUGCAUAUGACCUGCUCAUUAAUAAAAAUUUUAUACUCUUUACAUAUGGUUACAUUUAUAUAUUCUUUAUAUGUUUAUAUUAAUAAAAAAGUUAUAUUAAUAUAUUUAUGUUUGUCUUCAUAAAAAUGAAAUAUGCAUAAUGAGUCGGGCUUCGCCAGAUUUUAAUAAACCAAACCCGAACAUUCCUGCUCUGGUAUAAUUUUUCUGCCAACACGAACCUGAUUCAACUUGAACUUGCUGUUUGUUAAAAAAAAAACUGCUACAGGUCAGGUUCAGGCAGAUUGAUUUAUGCAAGUUUGGGAAAAAGAAAUUCAUCCCUAUCUGUGACUCUAAUACCAUGUCAAGUAAACAGAUAAUAGGUGAAGAGUUGUUAUUAGUAUUGUACUUCCAUCAAGUAUAUGUAGGUAUAUGAGAUGAUAUAAGUACAUGAAGCAUUUGAAAAUACAAUAAAUGUAAGAUUACUCCAAAAGAGAUAGGUACAAUAAAUGAAGUAUUUGAUAAAAUACAAUAAAUGAAAAAUACAAUAAAUAACGUUUGUCACUGAAUUAACUCAUAAAUAAUUCAUGCAAUGCUUACUCUAAAAGAGAUCAAAAAAGUUACUUAAGCGAUAUGUGCACUUAACUAGGUACAUAUAAAAUAUAUAUAUAUAUUUAUUUUGAAGAAGAAGAGAGCACAAUUUAUUUUGUUAUAUAUGGUGAUGGGAGCUAAAUUAAUUAGUUUAGUCUCCAUUGCUUGGCCACACAAGAUAGUGAUUCAUAAGAAGACCCCCCAUAAUCUAAUGAUUUUAAAGCGCUAUCUUUUAGUUCCUUAACUCUGCACCUAAUAGCCUUUCCUUCCUCACCCUCCAUUAGUACUCUCACCACUCUCUCUAUCUCUUCACGUCUAACCACUGUCUUUCCUCUCUCCACCUCGGGCCUGAUUGCUAGCUUUACCUCCUCUGUCAGAAAUGUUGCAUUCGUUCUCUGUUCUGCAUAAAGGGGCCAAGUGAUCAUUGGUACGCCAUGAGUUAUGCUUUCAAGUGAUGAAUUCCAUCCGCAGUGAGAUAGGAAACCGCCUGUUGAUGGAUGGCGGAGUACUGUGGUUUGUGGAGCCCAUGAUGGAAUCACCAGACCCAAUGCGUUAGUCCUCUCAAGGAAUCCUUCUGGGAGAUAUGUCUUUGGGUCAUUCAGCUCACUACCCACAUUGAAAAAGGUGCCUGAGGCAGUAUCACAAGGUGGGCGAACUACCCAAGUGAAUCGUUGCUGACUUAGUUCGAGACCCCAAGCUAGCUCCCUCAGUUGCUCAGUUGACAAGGUGCCUCCGCUCCCAAAGGACACGAAAAGAACUGAUUCAGAUGGUUGCUUGUCUAGCCAUGCUAGAUACUCAGCAUCCUUCGAGCUCAAUGGUUCAUCUUGCUUGACCAGCGGACCAACAGGAUAAACUGGCGGGGCAUGUAUUUGCUUAUAGAAAGUAUUCUCUCUUAUUGCCUUGAGUGCCACUGGCUCAAGAUCAUCCCACGAAUUGAGAAAAAUCCCAGCUGCUAAUGGAAAUCUACUAGAAAGAAGUACGAAUAGCUGGUAAUCAUCAGUCUUCCUAUGGCGAACUGGGUCAGCUAGGUCUUCAGGCCUGACUGGUGUACAACCUGGAACUUCAAUUGGCUCUGGAAGAUCAACGAGCUCACCCUCGACCUCAUGGUCAAGCGUAGGGAGGUACAAACAGAAAGCAAAGAAAGCCGUGGAUGUGGUGAAGAAUAAAUAUGUGGGAAUGUCCAAUUGGCUGCAAAUUUCAAAAGCCUGGGUACAAAAAAGAUCAAUGACCAAUGCUUUCGGCUUGCCCAAAUCAAUCAGAAGUGACUUAAGAGACUGGAGGCUCUCCUCUACAAUAACACCAAUCUUGUGGGCUAUGGGGAUGUCAGGGCUGCAUACCGUAGCUACGUCGACUCGAGGCAGGUCAACAAUGUCAAGGCCAUUGGGGAGGGAAGGUGAGCGGAGGAGGUGGUCUUGUGCAGCUGAGGAUUCAGUAGUGGUGAUGUUGAGGAAGCUGACAUGGGAAUCGUGGUAGAUAACAAGUCGCUUGGCUAACUCAAGAAGGGGGAUGAUAUGUCCUAGGCCUGGACUUGACAAUACGGCCACAUGAGUUUUGUUAGGUGUAGCAACCACCAUGAUCAAGUCGUCUAAAGUCUCAGUAGGAAGAUUAAUGGAGUGGUUCUGUUUAUCUUAGUGCUGAGAGAUGCCCUUGGAUUUAUAGAGAUGGAAAUUGGGUGUGGCUUUAAUUAAUUCAAUGGCAUAUGUACUUAGAUGCAAAUGUAACAUCAAACCAAUGCAUAUUGGAAAAAACAAUUGUCACGCAUGUAUUAAUUUUUCUGUUCUUCUUUUAAUGUCAUAAUUUUUGGUGUUUUACAGGCACUAAAAAAAUUUUAUCUUAGUGCUUUGAAAAAUUAUUUUAUUUGUGCUUUGGUGUUUUGCAAAUAUGAAAUCUUUACAUACUCACAUGAAAAGCUGUUUAUAUAUAAAUAUAAAUUUGAACAAAAAAAUAUUUUCCUGUACCAAAUAAAAUUUUAAUAUAUCAACAACUAUUUUGGAGAUAAUACAACUAAUUAUGAAAUAAGAUAAUAUAUAUAUAUAUAUAUAUUGGAAUCCUAUUACAUUGCUAUUAGUGGGAAGGAAUAAGAACAUAAUUUUUUGACUCAUUACUGUUGAUUCUCAUCUUCAUAUUCAAUUUGUUCUGAAAAGCAAUAUACAAUUUGUAAUAAGUUGGCAUAAUUCCCCCAAGUGAUAAUAGCAGUAUCAUCAAUCCUACUGGUCACCUUCACCUCCGAAUUUGGACAAGUUGGAAAAUUUGUUCACUUUCUUAUUUCAUUCAGUCUCAAAAUUCAGAUUUAAGAUACCUUAUAUAUAUAUAUAUAUAUAUUUUAACUUUUAUAUUCUAAAUUUAUAUGCAUAAUUUUUAUAUCCUAAAUUUUAUACGUAAUUUUUUAAUGUAAUGUUUGGCAGUACUAUAAUUGAGAUACGUAUAGUGUCAGUUGUGAUAAUAUGUCCUUCAUCAUCUUAUGUAAGGUGCUCAUUUAGUAACUAAAUGUUCAGUUGUGAUAAUAAUGCAGUUGAAAGUGAGAUACAUGACUGUUUCACGUGAAAAUGAAAGCAGGUGAUUUUGAAGGCGAAAUACGAAGUGUGAACUCUUUAUGCAGUUUGAACCUCUGGGUAGUGUAAUUAUUAGGUUAUUCAUGGCUCUAGUACGGAGACUUUACACAUAACUGAAGUUAGGUUGUAGCUUCCACUUCGCUGCUUCGUGAAUUGUGGACGUGUCUUGGUUCUUUUACGGGUUUGUUUGUUAGAAUUAUCUGUCUAGUAAUAUGUGGUCUAGAAUUUAAUUUUCUAAAAUAAAAUUAAUUCCCUUAAAUUUUUUUUAAAAAAAUUACUGCUAUUUGUAAAUAAGUCUGGUGAAUUGAGAAAGAAAAAUAUUAUAAAUCGUGUGGAUCUGAGGCUAAAAUGGUCUUUUCAGUUUUAAUAAACUAUUCAUCCAUGUCGGUUACAGCGGCACACAUAACAAAGAAGCGUGUGUAGGUGUCAAGUAUAUAAAAUCUCAUUUACGGAUCAGAGCCGCUGCGCCAAAACGCAUCGUUUCGCUUUUCAAUUCUGAGAAAUAAAGAAGCAAGUUAUUACCAGCAAGUCCAGUUGGUCAAUCACCCUCCACGAGGUCUGCGUUCUCCUUCCUCCUCUCUCCCAUCUCUGCAACGUCAUGGAUUUGAAAUCUCCGGAAAAGAACUCCACGGAGUUAACUAAUCCAACUCCCCUUCCCCCGCAAAACCCUAAAACCCAAACUGGAUCAAAACCCAAAGAUAGAGACUUGUUAAACCAUCUCGAAGCUUACCUUGCAAGGAGAGACGGAGUGGACAAACUCCUCAAGAUUUCCAGGUACGCCACCAAGAUUAUCUUAGCCUCCUCCGUCGUACCGGAAGCCCUCACCCUGAAUCGUCGCCUCAAGAGCUUCGAGUCCAGUGUGGGACUUAGUCGGAAAGCGUUUCGACUCGGCAAAUUCGUGCAGGACUUGAAUGCGUUAAGGAACUCGCAUUUCGAUUCAAAGCAAGAGAUCUUCUUCUCAAUUAUCGCCUACGGGGGCGAGGGUGUGUAUUACUUCGUUGAACAAUUCGUUUGGUUAGCAAAAUCUGGUUUGAUCGACAGUAAACAUUCGCGUAACUUGCAGAUAAUCAGUGCUUGGGCGGAGUUCAUUGGUUACUUCGGGAGUAUUGCACUUAAGAUAAGGGAUUUGAAGAAAAUAAUGGAGGACGAGGCAUGUUUGAAAUCGAGUAUUGAGAUCUCGAUUUCCAGGGGAAUUUCAUGCAAGGGGAAAGAGGAGAAGAUGAGAAAAUUGAGAGAGAAGAAGAUGAUGAAGAAAUUAUCAGUUGUACAAGAUUUGGCAGAUGGGUUGAUGUCGCUAGCGGAUAUUCGAGAUGGGAAGGGGAGACUUUCGGGUCCGCUGGUGGUGUCCAGUGCUGGACUUUUAUCAGCCAUCAUCAGUACUCAUAAGAACUGGUUGUCUUGUUGAGUCCGGUGGAAGAGGGUGAGUUUCAAUUUCAGUGGUUAAAUAAUGAACUUAAUUUAGGUGCCCAUGGUGAGAGUUCAUGGGAGAGAAACAUGGUAAAGUGACCCUAUAAGAUUUUUUAUUUGGGGGGUUCUUAAUCAUACAUCUACUUUCAGGAAUAAAAAGCCACACCAAUCACUAUUCUGCUUUUCUAAGUUUUAUGAAUUAUUUAUUAAUGGCUUUACGGAUUAUCUACCAUCUGGGUAUCUUAAUCCCUGUAACUGUGUCAGCUGUGAUGAGCAGGAAAUAUUUGACUAGUGUAUAAAUGGUUCUGGCUAGAAUUUCACAUCUCAUUUUCUUUUGAUACCCUUUAGAAAUAUUUCUAUUCAAGCAAUUAGCCUAAUUAACAUUUUACUGUAUACUCUUCAAAGAAUUCUUGCAUUACAGGCGAAUGUUAUGAGUUGAAGUCAAUUAGAACAUUAUGGUCUCACUAAUGAGCUGGAAUAUUUUGUGUAUGAUGCGUGCAAAAGAUGGUUCCAACUCAAAAGGAAAACCCGUUAGGUAAUGAAAAGACUACAAUUACAAAGAUGACAAGCUUCAAAUCCAGGAGAUUGAUUACACGUUUAUAGGGGUUAGUUUUCACCCUCCCCAGGAAGAUACACUUACUAGGUGCAUAGCAAGCAGCCUGUGAUAUCACCACCUGACCUGACCUUUGAACAAAAGAAGUAAACAAAAAAAAAAAAAAGUGACAAACUUCACUCCCGAAAAUAAUAAUAAUAAUAAUAAUAAAUGGAAUCUCAAGCUAUAGGACAUGAUAACAAUAUAAUAAAAACAAUCACGUACCGAGAAGCUUGUGGAACAUCCGCCAAACACUCUUCUUGGCCAUCAUCUUUCCUUCAAGGAAUUGUUAUUAGACCUUUUCAAUUCCCAUGGAGGUAGGAAGCCUCUCAAAGGAGAUUGUAGGAACAAGGAAGACGUUGACAAUUGCUUCUGCCGCAUGGAGAUCGAAGACAGGCAACUGAACGCGCUUCGUAGCCUCCUAUUUUCACUAUCAUAUGAUUCACAGUUAGGGUCAUGCUGCACUGCGGAAAUCUUGAGGGCUUCUGGGAGAAUGCAAUUGCAGAUUGAACCUGCCAGACACAGUGAACAAAUCAUAAAUGGAAAAACCAGUUUAUGGAGAGGGGUGACGCAAUGCAGCAUAACAAUAAAUAAUAGCACCAGCAAUCUUAUUGUUUUCUUUUUUCAAAAAAAGUUAUCCUAGUAACUAAAAUUUAAGACAUCUGUGCCAGCAUCAGUCACCAAAAUGAAUAUGUUAUUUCACCAUCAAAACUGUAAAAUUUUCAAACCCACAUUUUUAGGCACUGCCAAAAAGUUCACAAUAUUUACAAGGUUUUAACCAGGUCCGUGAGAAAUAGUAAUAGCUGCAACUGCGAGUUGACAGUAUUUUAUGACCUGCAGAAAAAUUAGUUGUGCAAAUUCUUCCAGGGAACCAAUUUUUUUAUCACAGUUUUUCUAUCUUCAAUACAUGCAUAAUCCAGAAGAUCAAGUUUAACAUUAAAAAGAAUUCCUGUUCCUAAGACUUAGAAGUCCACUAUCAUGGCAAUCUGACUGGAAGACCUGAGAGCAAGUAAUGGCAAAUAGUCUCCUGACAUUGAAUUUCUGUUUCUAAUUGAGAAAGGAUCUCACGUGUUAAAAGAUUGGUAAAAGAAGUAUAUGCUUAGAAAGUUUAAUGGCUUCAGUUUUCCAAAGAAAAAGAGAGAAUUCAAAUGCAAAUUUUUAUUUGAGGAACAAUACCUAUUUUUGCCAGUCUAUUUACCCAUUUUGGGAUUUGCUUCCCAGUCAAUUUGUAACAAACGUCCUUGCAGAAAUGGUUGCAGUUCUUAACUAUCAAGUGAUACGCAUCACCAUUGUAGCUCGAGGAUUGCUGCUCCAUGAACUCCCUCACCUNNNNNNNNNNNNNNNNNNNNNNNNNNNNNNNNNNNNNNNNNNNNNNNNNNNNNNNNNNNNNNNNNNNNNNNNNNNNNNNNNNNNNNNNNNNNNNNNNNNNNNNNNNNNNNNNNNNNNNNNNNNNNNNNNNNNNNNNNNNNNNNNNNNNNNNNNNNNNNNNNNNNNNNNNNNNNNNNNNNNNNNNNNNNNNNNNNNNNNNNNNNNNNNNNNNNNNNNNNNNNNNNNNNNNNNNNNNNNNNNNNNNNNNNNNNNNNNNNNNNNNNNNNNNNNNNNNNNNNNNNNNNNNNNNNNNNNNNNNNNNNNNNNNNNNNNNNNNNNNNNNNNNNNNNNNNNNNNNNNNNNNNNNNNNNNNNNNNNNNNNNNNNNNNNNNNNNNNNNNNNNNNNNNNNNNNNNNNNNNNNNNNNNNNNNNNNNNNNNNNNNNNNNNNNNNNNNNNNNNNNNNNNNNNNNNNNNNNNNNNNNNNNNNNNNNNNNNNNNNNNNNNNNNNNNNNNNNNNNNNNNNNNNNNNNNNNNNNNNNNNNNNNNNNNNNNNNNNNNNNNNNNNNNNNNNNNNNNNNNNNNNNNNNNNNNNNNNNNNNNNNNNNNNNNNNNNNNNNNNNNNNNNNNNNNNNUUGAUUAUGUCAAUGGUAACUUUUUUUGGAUCCCUUCUGAAGCUCUAAUAUAAGUCAAUUAUAUCAUCAUUUUCUUAACUGAAAUGUCAAUUUUCCUGUGAAGAUUUACGAAGAUUGCUUGGUGGUCCAUAGUUUUUUUGGGUGAAUAGUGGUUCAUAGUUAAUGCUGAUAAAGUUACAACUGACAAUCCAGUGGCGAAAAGAUAUUGGUCAAAAACAGUAUAAAUAGUACCAAGAAAUUGAGGGAAGUGUUAAAAAUAAUGAAAGAGGUCAUUCCGAGCACAUGAUUUAAAUGAGAAGCCUCCCUUAAGUUAUUAUCAACAGGAAUAUGAAAAACAGAAAAAAGGCAAGGGAAAUAACUGAAAGCAGAACCCGCAGUAAACGACUGAAAAUUUUUAAUGUUUAUUUUCUCACUAAGAAGUCCUCAAUUGGAAAAAGUUGCCAAGAAUUGAUAUAAUAUAAAACUACAUCUUCUCAAGAAGGAAAAUAAGGAUUAAGGAUGUUAGAGAUCCAGACUCUGAAGAAGAUUUCUGCAAAGAAUAUCAUUUACAAAACGAGUUUCAUUUAUUGAUAUGUGAAAAUAUUCUAUGUACAUUUUAUUUACCACUUACCUCUUCUUCUGCUAUAGGUUAACUCUGUUCCUCUGUGUGGAAUUGCUGCUUCAAUGGAUUAUCUGUACCAGUAACAUUCCUCAAGUCAAAACACUAUAUUCCAAUUUAAUUGUUUUCUCCCUCAGAAGAUCACUUCCAGGCAAAGAGAAGAGAUUGUCAACUCCUUAUUUUCCCCCCCAAGUUACAAGAAAUUUUGUAAGAAGCUUGCUCUCCUAGAAGGCUAGACUCCUCUUGAACAGUACUGAAUUUUUCACAACUCUUGAUCAACAUUAUAACUAUCAUAAAAUAAUCUUUUUAUUCUGGUUAACGGCGUAUGGGUCAGUUGACUGGGAGCAAAUAUAAAUAAACCAAGUCAACCACCUAAUUCUAAAAAAAAAAAGAAAAAAAAAAUCAAUCGCCUAAUUUAUGAACACGUCUCUCAUUCAUCCAAACUCUUGAAAGCUCUCAGAAUCUGGUGAGUAUCUCUAUUGAUUCCAGAAGUAGGGGCUAAAGCUUUGCUCCGAACUCUUGGUUCAGCUACUGAUUGCUUUCAUGUUAUUGCUUAAAUUAGACGAUCCACCUCUGGUAUACCUUAUUGCCAUGAACAAAAUACUUGCCAGAUACCUCCAAAACUAUUAAAUUUCUAAAAUUAGCAAAGUUAUAAAGUUUCCGAAUAACUCCAAAACUUUCUUGCCAUUCUCACCACAAAUCAUCAAAACCCUAAUCUUCCUCAAUGUAUAUGUAAUUGCCUAAUUUUAAUCAUAAUCCUAAAAUUACCAAGUUACAAUAUUCUCAGAACUCCAAGGGUAACUAAAAGCUGGCUUCCACCAUCCUUCAUACUAACUACUCCUGUAUACUAGGAUCAUUAUAAGAACUCUAAAACUUGCCAAUACAAGAAAAAUUAUAAAUAGGAAGGAGGUUGAAAACUUGUCUUUAAUUUUAAGUUCCAGAGUUUGUUGCAGAUUAUGAAGUUCUCUUUACCUUUUUACUGUACAAAAGAUAUAUCAAAUGUAAGACAACUAUAGAUCUGUUCGUGAACAGUAACAAGAAAAAGAUUUUGAGACUCCACCAACUUGUCGACAUGCUGAACAGUCUGGUCAGCAUUAGAAGUUGACUUAAGUUUCAAAAACUUAGUGGAGGAUAAGAUUAAUUCAAGGCAACUUGAAACACAAAGAUGAUAGAGAUAGAUAGAACAAACGGCUGAAGUCAACCCAAAUCCUCAGCAACUUCUUAUUCCAACCACUUGGGAGUUGGCGAAAGAAAAAACAAUUAGAACUAAAAGACAUGAAUUCUAAAUGUCUAAUAAAUAGAGAUCCAACAAUAACAUGUAGUUCUAAUUAGUCCCUGUAAAAGAGCUGAAACUACAAUCAUGCCACAAUUUCCUCUAGGCUCGCAUGUCAUAUGCAAAGAGAAUUGGGUAUAUGAAACCAUGUUGACAAAACCUCUGAUUGACAAGCACAACGCUAUAAUUAUCAUGACAAAGGAACUUGGUAUCUACGAAGUGAGAAAAAAAAUAUCUAAAUUAUCAGUAAUGUCAUAAGAGCCUGAGAUCAUUUCUUCAUGAAUAGAGUUAGAGAGAUUGAAAGAAAAACAAAAUAAAAUCAACCUUUUUUCCCUGAAAAUUCGAUGACGAAGUGCUGCAUUAUCCAGGGUAGGCAAGAAAAUCAUAUAAUUAUGAAAAGCACAAUUGCAGCAUUCUCCACAGAAGAUAGGAAGAAGAGCUUUAGGGGGUCAAGAUCACAAAAUAAGUAGAAGAAUUGUUCCAGAUCUAUUGACAACAACCAACAAAGGCUGAAAUUAAAGAAAACUAAAAUGUGUUGAGGCUUAUCUCCAGCUGGAACAACAUAUACAUUGUAACAGAGAAGCAGCAGGUCCCGUUUCUCAAAACAAUCACUGAGGAAGAACGUGAAGGAGAAAAGACAUAUGUUGGGGGGGGUUCGGCCAGAGAAAAGACUAAGACAGAAAGAGAAGAAAACAAAAACAGUAACCACUACCAAUUUCAGCCUCAAACCUCGAUAGGACUGUACAGUGAAGUUGUAAGAUAUUUUAUCAGAGAAAAUUUGCAGGAGCCGGAAGGAGAUAAAAGAAAAUAGUAUCUAGAAAUGCCAAGGCAGAAACAUGUGCCAAGAGAAAUAUAAAGCGUAAACAAUACAUAGGAAACAAAUCCAGUUUGGAGCACAAGAACUUACAAAAGGUCGCCAUUGCAGGCAGAACACACAUAGUUGAGAAUAAAAUCAGCAAUUCGCAGGCGGAUUCGACCUAAAACUCCUUCAUACGCACGCGAUUUGUGUCAUAUCUGAGCUGAGAAACGAGCAAAAUGUGAGAGGAAAGAGAGAAGAAGAGGUCAAAAUUUGAAGCGAAGAAGAAUAGAUAGAGAGAUAUCUCCUUCUUGCUCUGUGCGUAUGUAUCUAAACUUUCAGUCUCACUCACUCCCAAAUCACGAGUAACCUUCCUCUCUGGUGUAAUAUAACUGGUAAGCCAAUUGGUUUUUCACUUUUGCAUGUGUAGAAAGAGAAUAUAGUACUCUGAAGACUCUCUCUUCCCCCCUCGCUCCAGCCUCCGGUCAAAAUUAAAAUUGAAAGAAGAAGAAGAAGAAGAAUGAAGAAAAAAGUGUCGUGGAAGUAGUAAUUUUCUUCUGUCGAGGCACUGUCCCUGUUCAUCACCCUCGCCAUUAUUAUUACGUUUUUCUCUUACGAAUUUUUUAUCUGUAAAAAUUUUUAAUUUUCUCAAAAGUUAGAUUUUACUGCCAGUCAAUUCAUAUAUAUACAUACAUAUAUAUUAAAUAAGAAUUUUUAUAUUAAUUCUGAUUCAAAAUUUAAUUUUAAAAGAAAAAUAAAAUACAAUGAAACAGAAUUAUAAAAAGUAAAAUUAAUUUCGAAGAAAAUAAUAUUAUUAUGAUGGGGUCAGUCAAGUUGAAAUUUACAAAGUAUAUUUGGGAAUGAAAGAAGAGUUUGUAAUAAGGCCAAAGGAUGCACGUGUACACCUGCGCUCUCACUAUACAUUUAACCAUAUAAUAUAAUAUAAUAUAAGAUAAUAUAUAUAUAUAUAUGUAUGUAUGUAUGUAUUCCCAGAAUGUUAAUGCAA
rnacentral:lncRNA from 1 species